rnacentral:tRNA from 3 species
GACCCCUUCGUCUAGUGGCCUAGGACAUCGCCCUUUCACGGCGAAAACACGGGUUCGAGUCCCGUAGGGGUCACCA